rnacentral:rRNA from 1 species
UAGGGGGCAAGCGUUAUCCGGAUUUACUGGGUGUAAAGGGAGCGUAGACGGCGGUGCAAGUCUGGUGUGAAAGGCGGGGGCCCAACCCCCGGACUGCUCUGGAAACUGUAUGGCUGGAGUGCAGGAGAGGUAAGUGGAAUUCCUAGUGUAGCAGUGAAAUGCGUAGAUAUUAGGAGGAACACCAGUGGCGAAGGCGGCUUACUGGACUGUAACUGACGUUGAGGCUCGAAAGCGUGGGGAGCAAA